CCCAGGUCCACCCCCAGAUCUCUUGCUUGAGUUUUUUUGGCCAGUUCUACUGGUAGACUUACCUCUCUGUUUUUCUCACUUCUAAUUAGAUUCACCGACUGCAAGAAAUCAUGUGGGUCUUUUGAGUAGUGAGGAAAUUCAAAACUUCUUAUUAAUUCUUUAUGUUAUUCCAUACAACUCACUUUGGAGACUUUUGAGGCUGCAAGACUCAUUCUGUUACUGUCUGGAAAAGAGCACAUUGUCAUGGUUCUUUCAGUUAGAAUAUGAAAGCAAAGCAGCCUUUGUUGGGUCAUAGAUGUGAUCAUGACUGCUGCAUGGAUUCCAGCCACUGUCAAGCGUGUUCUAGGAAAUUGAGGCAGUUCUGCUCAGAAGCUUCCAUCUUUGCACCUUAAGUCCAAAAGCAACUCUUAAUGUGAGGCCUUGUGAAAUCUCAUAUAGCUUAGCAUCAUCAUGUCCCUGAGCCUAUCCAUUCUUGAAAUGUCUCUGGGAUAUAGUCUAACCACUACUGAAAGUCUUUUUUCUGGACCAUUAUGUCUCAUAAAUAUUAUGUCUCACAAAUUUCUGAUGGCAGUUAGCUCAUAUCAGAGGUUCUAAAGACUGCUGAACAGUACCACUUGGCAUCAGGGAUACCACGUGUGUCCACAUCUGUAGUGGAAGUGGAGUCAGCCAUACCCAACCAUAUCAAAUGGGUUCUCCAAAGGAAAGCAGAUUUUGUUACCAGAAAGAGGAAAAAUUGCUGAGCGACCCCCAACAGAGAUACCCUUCCACCAUGGUUUCUGCUCAUAUGCCAUCCUUCUGUUGGUGAGGCCUUUUCAGAAGAGCCCAGCUAAAGCGGAUACUCCCACCCUCCAUCACUCUCUAUUCCUCUACCCUAAUUAACUUUUCCCCAUAGCUCCUUUUAAUACUGAUAUAUAUUGUGAUGGUCAAUUUUAUGUGUCAAUUUGGCUAGGCCACAGUACCCAGAUCUUUGGUCAAACAUUAUUCUAGAUGUUUCUGUGAAGGUAUUUUUUUAGAUGAGAUUAACAUUUAAAUCAGUAGACUUUGCAUGAAGCAGAUUACCCUCCAAAAUGUGGGUGGGCCUCAUCCAAUCAGCUGAAGGCCUUAAUAGAAAAACACUGACCUACCCUGCAGAAGGAAUUCUGCCAGCAGACUGCCUUUGGACUCGAACUGCAACAUCAGCUCUUCUUGGGUCUCCAGCCUACCCUACAGAGUUUGGACUUGCCUGCCUCUAUAAUCACAUGACUGAAUUGCUUAAAAUAAAUCUUUGUAUACAUGUGUUUAUA
rnacentral:lncRNA from 1 species